GCUACAUUCAGACUAUCAGUACACUCAACUGUUCGUUGGUCCCUUGAAGAUAUUAUGAUGUAAGAAGAUGCAUCUCUGAUUCCUUAGUCAACCUCCUGAGACCCCCCUGCUACCUCUACUGCUUGACCUUGAAGCCAGCUACAUGAUCAGUGCCCAUGUGAAAGAGUCAAGGCAAAC
rnacentral:lncRNA from 1 species